rnacentral:rRNA from 1 species
UGGGGGAUAUUGCACAAUGGGCGAAAGCCUGAUGCAGCGACGCCGCGUGGGGGAUGAAGGCCUUCGGGUUGUAAACUUCUUUUGCUCUGAACAAGGCGCACCAUGGGGUGUGUUGAGUGUAGGGGUUGAUUAGCGCCGGCUAACUACGUGCCAGCAGCCGCGGUAAUACGUAGGGCGCGAGCGUUGUCCGGAAUUAUUGGGCGUAAAGGGCUUGUAGGUGGCUGGUUGCGUCUGUCGUGAAAGCUCAUGGCUUAACUGUGGGUUUGCGGUGGGUACGGGCUGGCUUGAGUGCAGUAGGGGAGGAUGGAAUUCCUGGUGUAGCGGUGGAAUGCGCAGAUAUCAGGAGGAAUACCGGUGGCGAAGGCGGGUCUCUGGGCUGUUACUGACACUGAGGAGCGAAAGCAUGGGGAGCGAACAGG